UCCAGAGAACUUAGCAGAGAUGCUUUGGUGCCUUCGGGAACUCUGAGACAGGUGCUGCAUGGCUGUCGUCAGCUCGUGUUGUGAAAUGUUGGGUUAAGUCCCGCAACGAGCGCAACCCUUAUCCUUUGUUGCCAGCGAUUCGGUCGGGAACUCAAAGGAGACUGCCAGUGAUAAACUGGAGGAAGGUGGGGAUGACGUCAAGUCAUCAUGGCCCUUACGAGUA
rnacentral:rRNA from 1 species